rnacentral:lncRNA from 1 species
CACCUGCCGAGCUCACCGGAACCACCUGCUCGACUGGCAGGACAAUCGUGCCGGACACGCCAAAAGGAACUGCCGGCUACACCAGAACCACUUAACCGACACUCCAGAAUCACCUGCCUGGCAUGCCAGAACCACCUCUCAGACGUGCCAGAAGCACGUGCCGGACAUGCCGGAACGACCUACGGGACAGACCGGAACCACCUGCCUGACAUGCCGGAACCACCUGCCGAGCACGCCAGAGCCACCUGCUACCCUUGCCGUAACCACCUGCCAGACAGGCCAAAAUCAACAGCUGGCUGUGCGAGAACCACCUGGGGGACAGUCCGGAAUCACCUGCCAGCCAUGGCGGAACCACCUCUCAGACGUACCAGAACCACGUGCCGGACAAUCUGGAAACACGUACUGGACAGACUGGAACCACCUGCCGGCCACGCCUGAACCACCUGCCGAGCACGACGGAACCACCUGCCGGACACGCCAAAAUCACCUGCGGGCUACUCCACAACCACUUGGAGGACUCUCCGGGAUGACCUGCCGGGCAUGCUGGAACCACCUCUCAGACGCGCCAGAACCAUGUGGCAGAGAGUCCGGAAUCACCUGUUGGGCAUGUGGAACCACCUCUGAGACGUACCAGAACCACCUGCCGGUCACGCCAAAAUCACCUGCCGGCUACGCCAGAAGCACUCGGCAGAGACUCCGGAACCACCUCCAGGACAGACCGGAAUCACCUGCCGGACACGCCGGAACCACCUGCUCGACUCGCCAGAACCACCUGCCGGACACGCCAAAAUCACCUGCCGGCUACGCCAGAACCACUCGGCAGAGACUCCGGAACCACCUCCAGUACAGACCGGAAUCACCUGCCGGACACGCCGGGACCACCUGCUUGACUCGCCAGAACCACCUGCCGGACACGCCAAAAUCACCAGCCGGCUACUCCACAACCACUUGUCGGACACUGCAGAAUCACCUGCCGGGCAUGUUGGAACCACCUCUCAGAGGUGCCACAACAACAUGCUGGAGACUGCGGAAGCACCUGCUGAGAAGGCCGGAAGUUCCUGAUCCACUCCACAGAACCACCUGCUGGACACGCCAAAAUCACCUGCCGGCUACGCCACAACCAGUUGGUGAACACUUCGGAAUAAACUGCCGGGCUUGCUGGAAGCACCUGCCGGUCACGCCAAUAUCAC